rnacentral:tRNA from 1 species
AGCCCCGUGGUGUAGCGGUCAAUCAUGCGGGCCUUUGGAGCCCGCAACCGGGGUUCGAAUCCCAGCGGGGCUA